rnacentral:rRNA from 1 species
GCUCGAUCGUAAACUUUAAAUUACUUUCCCAUCGCCAGAGAACUACGAGCAAAGCUUAAAACUCAAAGGACUUGACGGUACCCCAUAUCCCCCUAGAGGAGCCUGUCCUAUAAUCGAUAAUCCCCGUUAAACCUCACCACUUUUAGCCUCUCAGCCUGUAUACCUCCGUCGUCAGCUUACCACGUGAGCGAAACUUAGUGAGCCUAAUGUCCACACGCCCACACGUCAGGUCAAGGUGCAGUAAAUGAAGUGGCAAGAGAUGGGCUACACUUUCUAUAAUAGAAUACACGAAAGACCACAUGAAAACCGGUCAAAAGGCGGAUUUAGUAGUAAAAGAAAACCAGAGUGUUUUUUUAAAUUCGGCACUGGGGUGUGUACACACCGCCCGUCACCCUCUUCAAAGCUCAAUCCUAGUAUUUAACCACCUAGUGCCCCUCAGAAGAGGCAAGUCGUAACAUGGUAAGUAUACCGGAAGGUGUGCUUGGUAAA